rnacentral:rRNA from 1 species
ACCCGGAAAUUGCCGUCGAUACUACUUGACUUGAGGGCAGAAGAGGAGGUCGGAACUUUCGGUGUAGCGGUAGAAUGCGUAGAUAUCGAAAGGAACGCCGAUAGCGAAGGCAGACCUCUGGGAUGUUCCUGACGCUGAAACACGAAAGCUGGGGGAGCAAACAGGAUUAGAUACCCUGGUAGUCCCAGCCCUAAACGAUGUACACUAGGUGUUGCCCUUAUGGGCAGUACCGGAGCUAACGCGUUAAGUGUACCGCCUGGGGACUACGGCCGCAAGGUUGAAACUCAAAGGAAUUGACGGGGACCCGCACAAGCAGUGGAGGAUGUGGUUCAAUUCGAUGCUACGCGAAGAACCUUACCCAGGUUUGACAUGCAGGUAGUAGAAGCCGGAAACGGUGACGACUGGUAGUUUACUAUCGGAGCCUGCACAGGUGCUG